rnacentral:rRNA from 1 species
UACGUAGGGUGCGAGCGUUGUCCGGAAUUAUUGGGCGUAAAGAGCUUGUAGGCGGUUUGUCGCGUCUGCUGUGAAAAUCCGGGGCUCAACCCCGGACUUGCAGUGGGUACGGGCAGACUAGAGUGUGGUAGGGAGACUGGAACUCCUGGUGUAGCGGUGAAAUGCGCAGAUAUCAGGAGGAACACCGAUGGCGAAGGCAGGUCUCUGGGCCACUACUGACGCUGAGGAGCGAAAGCAUGGGGAGCGAACAGG